AGUUAAGCUGACAACAUGGCGUCAGCACCCACUUCGUGAUGUCCGGUUGGAGUGAAUUUCUGCCGACAUCUUUCGUUUAUGGUUUCCUUUCCGGCUCUAUCGGGUGAGGGAAGGUGGAGACUACGGUCUUAGCAGUUGAGCAAGGAAGCAAGAAAGAUAAUGGACUGGAAAUGGUUUCCUGCAUCAGAUCAUGACUGAUGGCACUGACUCUGAGGAGACAGGCCGGUAUACAGCGACUGUUUUUUCUUUUUCUUUUAAGUUCUGAACUUACAGAAGUUGUACACUGACUUGUGAAUUAUCCUUGGAGUAAUGUGUGUUAUUGGAGUAAAGCUGUUUCAGAAAAAGUA